rnacentral:rRNA from 1 species
UACGGAGGGAGCUAGCGUUAAUCGGAAUUACUGGGCGUAAAGCGUGCGCAGGCGGUUUUGUAAGUUUGUCGUGAAAGCCCCGGGCUCAACCUGGGAAUUGCGAUGAAGACUGCAAGGCUUGAAUCUGGCAGAGGGGGGUAGAAUUCCACGUGUAGCAGUGAAAUGCGUAGAGAUGUGGAGGAACACCGAUGGCGAAGGCAGCCCCCUGGGUCAAGAUUGACGCUCAUGCACGAAAGCGUGGGGAGCAAACAGG